CUCACCGCUGCCUCAGUGCAGGGCUGUGCGUCCGAACUGGGUCACCAAGGAGGUUCUGCUAAUCUGUCACUCAGACACUCCAUUUAAAAACAUGCCCUCCAGAACCACGCAGCCGUAAGAAGAGGGGUGGAAAACUUCAUACAAUUGUCGUCCUUAUGAUGCAGAUGGAACAGGGCAUAAUCCACAAAGUCUCCGGUGAGCCAGGGCACAGCCGGUGCAACAGCAGAAAGAAGGGCAGACGCGGUCACACUCCGUUCUGCCCAGCGUGGGCCAUGGCCAAUGCUGCCUGGUGGUGCCGUGAGCCCAAGAACGAGGUCAGCUGCACUGCGGACGGGACUUUCUCAGGGAAGGAAGCACUGCGUCGGUCUGCAUUAGCCGCUAAGGCUGUAGAUCAGCGUGCGGAGAAGCACGGAUACAAAUUAUACUUCGUUAUCAUCCAAAGCAGUCCAGGCCGUGGACCAAAGGGUAAAGCUUUCAUCGCCCUUUGCUUUGUUCCUGGGUUCUGGUCAGUUGAGGUCCAACCGGAGACUCGUGACUUAACGUGAGCAGGACUAAGCGAGCCAGCAAGAGACAGUGGAGCCCCUGGGGGUGUCCAUGGCCCCGAGUCAGGUGCAGGGACCCCUAGGGUAGGUGAGAACUGGGGCUGGAGAAGACGGGCCACAUCGAUCGGGCCGGUGGCUGUGGGCUCAGGAGGGACGCCGCUGUCACCAGCAAGCCAGCAGCCAUGGGGA